UACGAGGGGGCAAGCGUUGUCCGGAAUCAUUGGGCGUAAAGAGCGUGUAGGCGGCUCGGUAAGUCCGCUCUGAAAGCCCGGGGCUCAACCCCGGGAGGCGGGCGGAUACUGUCGGGCUAGAGUCCGGAAGAGGCGAGUGGAAUUCCUGGUGUAGCGGUGAAAUGCGCAGAUAUCAGGAGGAACACCAAUGGCGAAGGCAGCUCGCUGGGACGGUACUGACGCUGAGACGCGAAAGCGUGGGGAGCGAACAGG
rnacentral:rRNA from 1 species